GACGAACGCUGGCGGCGUGCCUAAUACAUGCAAGUCGAGCGAAGUUUUUCUGGUGCUUGCACUAGAAAAACUUAGCGGCGAACGGGUGAGUAACACGUAAAGAACCUGCCUCAUAGACUGGGACAACUAUUGGAAACGAUAGCUAAUACCGGAUAACAGUAUUUCUCGCAUGAGAGAUAUUUAAAAGUUGGUUAUGCUAACACUAUGAGAUGGCUUUGCGGUGCAUUAGCUAGUUGGUGGGGUAAAGGCCCACCAAGGCGACGAUGCAUAGCCGACCUGAGAGGGUGAUCGGCCACACUGGGACUGAGACACGGCCCAGACUCCUACGGGAGGCAGCAGUAGGGAAUCUUCCGCAAUGGGCGAAAGCCUGACGGAGCAACGCCGCGUGAGUGAAGAAGGAUUUCGGGUCGUAAAGCUCUGUUGUUAGGGAAGAAUGGAUAUGUAGUAACUAUACAUGUAAGAGACGGUACCUAACCAGAAAGCCACGGCUAACUACGUG
rnacentral:rRNA from 1 species